rnacentral:rRNA from 1 species
UACGUAGGGUGCGAGCGUUAAUCGGAAUUACUGGGCGUAAAGCGCACGUAGGCGGCUUUGUAAGUUAGAGGUGAAAGCCCCGGGCUCAACCUGGGAAUGGCAAUGGAAACUGGCGGGCUGGAGUAUGGCAGAGGGGGGUGGAAUUCCGCGUGUAGCAGUGAAAUGCGUAGAGAUGCGGAGGAACACCGAUGGCGAAGGCAGCCCCCUGGGCCAAUACUGACGCUCAGGCACGAAAGCGUGGGGAGCAAACAGG